AACGAACGCUGGCGGCACGUUUUAAGCAUGCAAGUCGAAUGGCAGUGGGGGCAACCCCAUGAGAAUGGCGUACGGGUGAGUAACACGUAGGUGAUCUGCCUGACGGAUGGGGAUAGCUUGUGGAAACACAGGGUAAUACCGAAUGAGCUGACGAGACUUUGGUUUUGUUAGUAAAGGUGCUACGGCACCGCCGACAGAGGAGCCUGCGGCUGAUUAGCUAGCUGGUGGGGUAAAGGCCUACCAAGGCGACGAUCAGUAGCCGGCCUGAGAGGGUGUACGGCCACACUGGAACUGAGACACGGUCCAGACUCCUACGGGAGGCAGCAGCUAAGAAUCUUCCGCAAUGGGCGAAAGCCUGACGGAGCGAUGCCGCGUGAUCGAUGAAGGUCGAGAGAUUGUAAAGAUCUUUUCUACAUGAGGAAUAAGUCUGGGAGGGAAUGCCUGGAUGAUGACGUUAGUGUAGGAAUAAGCCCCGGCUAAUUACGUGCCAGCCGCCGCGGUAA
rnacentral:rRNA from 1 species